AGGGGUUUAGCUCAGCUGGUAGAGCGGCGGUCUCCAAAACCGCAGGUCGUGGGUUCGAAUCCCCCAGCCCCUGCCA
rnacentral:tRNA from 4 species